UACGUAGGUGGCAAGCGUUGUCCGGAUUUACUGGGCGUAAAGGAUGUGUAGGCGGAUACUUAAGUGAGAUGUGAAAGCCCCGGGCUCAACCUGGGGACUGCAUUUCAAACUGGGUAUCUAGAGUGCAGGAGAGGAAAGCGGAAUUCCUAGUGUAGCGGUGAAAUGCGUAGAGAUUAGGAAGAACACCAGUGGCGAAGGCGACUCUCUGGACUGUAACUGACGCUGAGGCACGAAAGCGUGGGGAGCGAACAGGAUUAGAUACCCUGGUAGUCCACGCUGUAAACGAUGAGUGCUAGGUGUUGGGGGAGACAUCCUUCAGUGCCGCAGUUAACACAAUAAGCACUCCGCCUGGGGAGUACGGUCGCAAGACUGAA
rnacentral:rRNA from 1 species